UAUAAAUAGGAUAUGACUGUGAAGUUUCAUGAAUUUUUGUCUUAUGUUUUUUAAUUUCCACUGUUUUCUUUCUUCUUCUACGGUACUCUCCCAGCUGGCUCUGCUGUUCUCUGAGGAUGAAAACAGUUUCAAGCAGGCAUGCUCACAUGUCAAGAAAAGAAAAAGUCACAUCCACUGCUAUAAACCAAAAGGCUGACUGAGCAAGAGCAGACUUGAAUUUUCCAGUGAAACCCUACACAAACCUCAUCUCUGAUGCCCUAAGUCACCAGAUGGGUACAGACAUGACUUGAUUAUAGAAUUAUUGGUCCACUUUCAGCACCUGCUCUGGUGCUGAGCUGGGGAAAUGGAACCUGAAGCCAAGGAUAAAACAUUAUUAUUGCCAUUGACUUGUUUUUUCCUCUACUUCCUGGCCUCACAAUGAGUGUGGCAAUGAUGCUCCGUGCCAUAAGAAGGAACUGCAGAUGAAGCUGCUCUGAGACACCUUUAUUUGAUACUCUGGCUAACCUGGAAAGGAGGAAUUACAAAGGUUGUUGCUAUUGGUUACAUUUGUGUUCCCACUUCUGUAUUGUCCAUGUGCUUAAAAAUAUCUCUAACUAUAAACAUGAUAUUCAAGAGAAAGCAGGACUCCAGAAUGGAUUUGUUAUUAGAUUGUCAUAUUUCCAAAAAAAAAAAUUUUUUUGCUGUGUAGUGUAUAAAAUAUUUAUUGUGGCGGGGGGGGACUGUUGCUGCUGUUAGGGUCAUGUUUUGUGGAUUUUUCAGCAUACAUAAUUUUGAACACUAUUCAAACUUCAUUUUUCAUUUUCUCAUUUUAUUGUAAUGAUGAAUUUUAUGGGAAAGUCACAAAGCAAAGCAAAAGGCAACAAAAACUAGAUGACGUUCUAUAAUACAUGGAGUUUCAUCUCUGGCCAGAUGAGAUUGAUGGACCUGCCUGUGGCUUGUGUAUUGCUCUCCUUUGCUAACCAGAAAUGAAACAUCAUGUGUCUCAACUUAUACUUUAUUGUUUUUAAUUUGGCAGCUAUCUUUGGAUAGGACAGAGAAUCAAUCCCAUUCUAUCAGACUCUACCUUUCAUUUUAUAAAUGUGAACCCUGACUAGUCUUUGAUGAAAUAUUUCACACUGAUUUCUUAGUCAACAGAUGAGAACAGGUCUUCUGGACCUAAAGAACAAAUGAUGCACAGAGAGUAAUUAAAGACUACAGGUAGAUAUUAAAUCAUCACUGAUACACUGAUGCUAGAAUUUUGAAUAGUAAAGAAAAACUAUAGGUAGAUAUUAAAUCAUCACUGAUACAGAAAUAUUGCUAUGCUAGAAUUUUGAAUAGUAAAGAAAAACUAUAAAUACUAAUAUAAAAAAUAGUCUUUCUUGAAAAUCCACAAGUAAUAGUUGGCUAGUCAACUUCAACAAACUUAUAUUCUUAAAUCCCAUGUCUUUCUGCUAGUUUAGCCUGCAGGUUCUAUAGUGAAUUCUGGAAAAUGCACAAUCAUACAUAAAUUUAAAUACGCAAAUUUGAAUGGAGCAAACAUUUAUACAGAGUAAAAAUUGCCAUCCUUGCAUGUUUGAGAAAAAGAGAAUCAUUAAGGUUGGAAAAGACUCAACAGAACUUCCAAGAUGAUAAGUCAACAACUGCCACCAAAUCUCUGUCUUGUGUCUAGGGCUUGGCUGAAAAAGAAAGGUGUCUUCUGUGAAUAUAGUAUGGUGAGAACAGUUGAAGAGAAGAACUAGGACAGCAGAAAUGAAGUGAGAAAGAAUAUGAAUAGGACCUUAAAGGAACUUGCAAAAGUGGAUUUUUUUUUUCCUUGUGAGAACCAGCAAUGCCAACGGGAAGAACAAUUAAACGGAGGCUAGUGCUGAGUGCCAAAUAAGUAAUUUCUAAGGGCUUUUCUUUUUUUCAGUGAGCAUAGGAGAAAGAUUUAAAUGAUACAACCCUUGGGCUCAUGAGCUUGGCAAACCCUUUUAAUUUUUCUGUAAAGACAGUCUUGCUUUGCCAAAUAGAUUUUACCAAGUUUUCACAGCUCUUUCCAAAGCACUCUAGACAACAAGAACACAUAAUUAAACCAAAAUAAUAUAGAUAUAAAUAAUAAAUUUUACCAAAGCAGAAGUGUUAUGAAUCACAAAUAAACUGAAGGCUUGUUGAAGGAGGAAUUCUUAUGCAAAUAAGUAAUGGAGUUUCUGUUUUCCUGUUUGCAUCAUUAAUUUGUAAUAAAACAUGAAUUAGGAACAGUUUUCUAAUGAUGUCUUCCCCUCUGUUUUGCAAUAUGAGACUUAUUAGAGAAUGUAAUCUGUCAAAUGCUUUCCUUUCAAAGAUCUUCUGCUUCUGGCUUGCAUUUGAAGUGAGAGUUAUUUGUGAAGAACUGCUGUGCAGUCUAGAUUCAAACUGUUAUUUUUGUGUACAAUGAUUCUUCCCCCUGCUGUCCUAUUCCAUUUAACAAGGCAAUGCCUUGUCUUUUAGAUUUACAGAAUAAAGGUGUGAUGAGAACAGACAAGUUGAACAUACCAGAAGAGUCCACAGGUGAAAGAACAGAGAUCGGUAAUAUCAGAAAUGAGACUUAAUUACUCUGACAGCUCAAAGAAAGUUUGCAGUUGUUUUGCUGUUGAUGUGUAGAGAAGGAAACUCCAUUUGCAUUAUCCAAAGGAAGGACACAAACCCAACGGCUGAAACUUUCUGUCCUUAUGCAGUAACUAAUCUCCUAAACUGAGGAGGUCAGCAAGAGCCACUUGGCCUUUCUUUCUUUCCCCA
rnacentral:lncRNA from 1 species